AUCUACUAUGUCAGGAAAAUCUAUAACCCUUUUGACAGGAAAGCAGAGUGCUGCUGAAUCGAUCACUUCAUUAGGCUGCAGGCCAGCUGUUCCACUGGUGAAACUAACACGGUGGGGAAGUAAUUAGAAGACAAAGAGAAGGAGGAGUUCUAGCUGGACAGGAAUCUGCUAAUUGAAAACAAUAGCUAGACAGAAGGGGAAAGAAAACAUGAGAGUAUGGCCCCCAGUUUGAUCCUGAAGUUACAGGAAUGCUGGAAUAUUUUGAACAGGCUAAUGAUGGAU